CAGCCGCCGCGGUAAUACGGAGGGGGUUAGCGUUGUUCGGAAUUACUGGGCGUAAAGCGCACGUAGGCGGCUUGGUAAGUUAGAGGUGAAAGCCCGGAGCUCAACUCCGGAAUUGCCUUUAAGACUGCCGAGCUAGCAGGUGAGAGAGGUAAGUGGAAUUCCGAGUGUAGAGGUGAAAUUCGUAGAUAUUCGGAAGAACACCAGUGGCGAAGGCGACUGACUGGACAAGUAUUGACGCUGAGGUGCGAAAGCGUGGGGAGCAAACAGGAUUAGAUACCCCAGUAGUCCCUGUCUCUUAUAA
rnacentral:rRNA from 1 species